rnacentral:tRNA from 1 species
GCCCUAGUAGCUUAGUUUUAAAGCAUCGGUCUUGAAUAAUCCGAAGAUCGGGGGUUAAAUCCCCCCCUAAGGCC